rnacentral:rRNA from 1 species
UCGAAGUGUAUAUCAUUGUUGUUGCGGUUAAAAAGCUCGUAGUUGGAUCUGCGUCCGUGGAAUCGGUCCUCCCAAUGGGAGCGCACUGAUAUCCUGGGCUACAUUGGCUGGUUUUCCCUUGGUGUCCUUCACCGGGUGCCUUGGGUGACUAGCGCGUUUACUUUGAAAAAAUUAGAGUGCUCAAAACAGGCGUCAGCCUGAAUACUGGUGCAUGGAAUAAUGGAAUAGGACCUUGGUUCUAUUUUGUUGGUUUUCGGAAUACGAGGUAAUGAUUAAGAGGGACGGACGGGGGCAUUCGUAUUGCAGCGCUAGAGGUGAAAUUCUUGGACCGCUGCAAGACGAACAACUGCGAAAGCAUUUGCCAAGAAUGUUUUCAUUAAUCAAGAACGAAAGUUAGAGGUU